rnacentral:rRNA from 1 species
AUUGAACGCUGGCGGAAUGCUUUACACAUGCAAGUCGAACGGCAGCACGGGGCAACCUGGUGGCGAGUGGCGAACGGGUGAGUAAUAUAUCGGAACGUGCCCAAUCGUGGGGGAUAACGUAGCGAAAGUUACGCUAAUACCGCAUACGAUCUACGGAUGAAAGCGGGGGAUCGCAAGACCUCGCGCGAAUGGAGCGGCCGAUAUCAGAUUAGGUAGUUGGUGGGGUAAAGGCUCACCAAGCCAACGAUCUGUAGCUGGUCUGAGAGGACGACCAGCCACACUGGAACUGAGACACGGUCCAGACUCCUACGGGAGGCAGCAGUGGGGAAUUUUGGACAAUGGGCGCAAGCCUGAUCCAGCCAUUCCGCGUGCAGGAUGAAGGCCUCGGUU